GAAGUAGUGGCAUAAUGGUUUGAGUGUUGGACUACAACUCUGGAGACCAGGGUUUGAAUCCCAGCUCAGCCG